UCCUUGGGCCGCGCCGGAAACGAGCCAGGGUGGUUUCCGGCGUUGUCUCCAUUCUGUCUUGUUUUGCAUAUAUUUUUUAAAAAGCUAAGCUCGGGAAAAUUGGAUAGCCGGAAACCCUAGAUUCCUGUCCGUCGGGGUUUUCUUGCUAAAGCUGUCUGGCCCCUGGCAUUUGUAACCCCGUCUUCUGUGGACGCGUGGCCUUCCCCAGAGCACGCGCAAGGCUUUCCUGUGUCCAUUUUCCCUUUUUUUCUUUUGUGAAGACAAAGGAGUGCUGCACUUUAUAAGGAGCCAACCCAGCAUAAUACCCAGGAUUCAAAACAUGCCAAGAUACUCACUUCCAAAGAACAUGAAGAGCACGAAGAGCACUGGAUAGAAAUAGCUCAAGCAAACAGCAAGGGCAUACUCAUGCACUACAGCAGAUAUGGCAAAGACAGCUAACAUGGCAGCAGACUUGAACCUCUUUGAGAAAAACUAAGGUACAAGGACAAUCAGUAAACAGUCUUCCAAAUCAGCACUGAUCGAUGUAUUUAAAAAUAAGUAUCAUCUCUACAGAAUGUAACAUGUCUUCCUAGUGAACACUAAAGGCUGAAAUAUCCUAUAACUCUAAUGGAAUUACAUACUCGACUUCUCCUUAGCUGCAUGCAGUACCCGUGGCACAUUCUCUCUGACAAAUGAGUGAGCCUUCAUUAUCAAACGAAUCUACAAAAGGAAGAGGGAAAAGAUGAAUUUUCUAUCAUUGCCUUAUCUCCUAUAAGCAACCCCAGAACUAGAUUAUAUUGACACUAAAGAACUUCACUUUUAUGGAAUAAAGCAAAUUAAAAAAACAAACCCUAAAGGACAUGUAAUUACCCAAAUUAUUCUGUACCUAACAGCAUUAUUAAUAUAAAUAUUAUAAUAAUCUAAAUUAAGAAAUUAAGUCUGUUCAAGAUGGAGGUAGUGGUGCAUGCUAUAAUCCCAGUGACUCAGGAGGCUGAAGCAAAAGGAUCUCCAUCUAGGCUCAGCAACUUAGCGAGACCUUAUCUCAAAAUUAAAAGUAAAAGGGUCUGGGUAGCUUAGUGGUAGAGUGCCCCUGGGUUCAAUCUCCAAUACAAAAAAAAAAGAAAAAAAAAGAAAUCAAGUCUGUUCAAAGAAAUUCUGAAUUGGUCUUUAUUAGUCAAAUAGUGCUACAGACAAUAUAUGUUAGAAAAUUCUAAAGGAUAUAUUAAAAAAUUGAGAUAAGGGCUGGGGCUGUAGCUCAGUGAUAGAGCGCCUGCCUCGCACUUGUGAGGCACUAGGUUCAAUCUUCAGGACCACAGAAAAAUAAAUAAAGAUAUUGUGUCCAUCUAAAACUAAAAUAAAUAAAUAAAUAAAAUAAAAAUAAAAAUUGAGAUAAAUCUCUUACUUAGAAGGAAAUAGUUACAUGACAAUACAAUGAGUUUUAUUUUUUAUACCUUUAUUUUAUUUAUUUAUUUAUUUAUUUUAAUUUUUUUUAAUAUUUAUUUUUUAGUUAUCGGAGGACACAACAUCUCUGUUUUGUAUGUGGUGCUGAGGAUCGAACCCAGGCCGCACGCAUGCCAGGCGAGCGCGCUACCGCUUGAGCCACAUCCCCAGCCCAUUUAUUUUUAUGUGAUGCUGAGGCUCGAACCCAGGGCCUCACACAUGCUAAGUGAGCACUCGACCGCCGAGCCACAGCCCCAGCCCAAAAGUGGAGUUUUAAAUUACAAAGAUAUUUAAUCAUCUAGAUGAUUUUUACAAAAAGUAUUUGGGGGAAAAAAUUUAAUUCAUCCAGAACUGUUCAAUAUAAUUUAUUUCAAUUACUAACAUCUAGAGAACACUGGAGCUAGAAUGAAUUUUAAAAGAUAAGAUGAUAUGCCAGGAACGGUAGUGCACACCUAUAAUCCUAGUGACUCGGGAGGCUGAGGCAGGAGGAUCAUAAGUUCAAAGCUAGUCUCAGCAAAGCGAGGCUCUAAGCAAUUAACUGAGACCCUCAGUUAAAAUACAAAAUAGGGCUGGGGAUGUGACCCAGUGAUCGAGCACCUCUGAGUUCAAUCCCCAGUCCCCCUCCAAAAAAAAAAAAAAAAAAAGAUGAGAUAAUAUAGUUCAGCACUUAAAUUCUACAUCUCCUGGCACACAGUGCCAUAUAUGAAAACUUACCCAUGUUAAUACAGCUAAAAAUAAUACCACUAUUAUGUCAUUAUUGUUAUUAUUAUUUAACUAAGCACAGCACCCUUUUGGGUAACACUAAAAAUCUUACCUGUUCAAGUAUAACAAUGAACCGAGAAGCUGGUGGUAGUGUAUAUGCUAAUACAACAUAUGUUGGUCCAAACCCUAGAAUUCCAAGCUGGAAGACCAUAAAAAUCAAGCCAUGGACAAGAGAAUAGAUCACUGGAUGAGAACUCCUGCUGUAGCCAUCGGCCCAAUGUUGAAACAGGAAAUAGGGAAUUGAAAGCGUACACAGGAACAUGAUACACCAUGUCCAAACAACAGUAGAAAAUUUACCAAAAGCAUAAGACAGGAGAUUGAACUCAAGUACUAGCCUGGAGAGGAAAAAGCAGAGAGGAAGAAUAGAGAAGUUAGUUUCUAAUAUGUACAGAAUUCAAAACUUUCAGACCCCAAACUUUCAAUCCUCAUAAACAAUACAAUAUUAAUACACUGAACAUAAUUACACUGGAUAUAAUGGCUCGCUGGACAGAGACCUGUGUCUAACCCUCUCUCUGCUUCACAACAUAUCAACAACAAACUCUCUAAAAGCCCUAUUUGGCUAUGAACUCAAGAUACCUAAGGUGAUAGACAUGGCCUUGAACUUCUGAAAGAUCAGAUUCUUACAUUAGUAUUUUAAAACCAAAAUAUUAAGUGGCAAAAUAUUCAAUAACAAUUAUUUUUAUGUACAAAAGAUGAUUUUUCAGAAGGAAAUAGGUAUGAUUCAAAAGACUACUAAUAUACUAUUUUACCAUUAUUUCAAAAUUGAAUUUUUAAAAAAAGCAUGCACAUUCAAUUUAUGACUACCACACUGCUAUUUUUUAAGUUAUAUUCAAUAUUUAUUUAGUUUGUUUGUAUACUGGGGAUUGAACACACAUAGUAAAGACUUUUCUUUUAAAGUAGUUUAGAAGAUAAUUCACCUUUCAAAAACAUCUCAAAAUAUUAAUCCUCACCUACACCUCCAGCCAUUUCUAUUUAUUUAUAUUUUUGAGACACUGUCUAAAAUACUUGUGAUUCUCCUGCCUCAGCUUCUUGAGUAGCUUGGGUAACAGGUGUGCACCACUGCACCCCCUUACACUUGAUUUUUUUUUCAAUAAAUAUUUUUUAAUUGUUGA